AUGUACAUGCCUACAGCAUAGCGUUAAUGCACCAGAUCCCAUUAGAACUCUGCAGUUAAGCGCGCUUAGGCUAGAGUAGUACUGGGAUGGGUGACCGUCUGGGAAGCCCUAGUAUUGUACAUG
rfam:Picea glauca, whole genome shotgun sequence.